AUUGAACGCUGGCGGCAUGCCUUACACAUGCAAGUCGAACGGCAGCACGGGAGCAAUCCUGGUGGCGAGUGGCGAACGGGUGAGUAAUAUAUCGGAACGUGCCCAGUCGUGGGGAUAACGUAGCGAAAGCUACGCUAAUACCGCAUACGAUCUAUGGAUGAAAGCGGGGGAUCGCAAGACCUCGCGCGAUUGGAGCGGCCGUAUAUCAGAUUAGGUAGUUGGUGAGGUAAAGGCUCACCAAGCCGACGAUCUGUAGCUGGUCUGAGAGGACGACCAGCCACACUGGGACUGAGACACGGCCCAGACUCCUACGGGAGGCAGCAGUGGGGAAUUUUGGACAAUGGGCGCAAGCCUGAUCCAGCAAUGCCGCGUGCAGGAUGAAGGCCUU
rnacentral:rRNA from 1 species